rnacentral:rRNA from 1 species
GUGGGGAAUCUUCCGCAAUGGACGAAAGUCUGACGGAGCAACGCCGCGUGAGUGAUGAAGGUCUUCGGAUUGUAAAGCUCUGUUAAUCGGGACGAAAGAGCCUAGUGUGAAUAAUGCUAGGAAGUGACGGUACCGGAAUAGAAAGCCACGGCUAACUACGUGCCAGCAGCCGCGGUAAUACGUAGGUGGCAAGCGUUGUCCGGAAUUAUUGGGCGUAAAGCGCGCGCAGGCGGAUCUGCCAGUCUGUCUUAAAAGUUCGGGGCUUAACCCCGUGAUGGGAUGGAAACUACAGAUCUAGAGUAUCGGAGAGGAAAGUGGAAUUCCUAGUGUAGCGGUGAAAUGCGUAGAUAUUAGGAAGAACACCAGUGGCGAAGGCGACUUUCUGGACUGUAACUGACGCUGAGGCUCGAAAGCCAGGGGAGCGAACGGGAUUAGAUACCCAAGUAGUCC